UACGAAGGGGGCUAGCGUUGUUCGGAAUCACUGGGCGUAAAGCGCACGUAGGCGGAUCUUUUAAGUCAGAGGUAGAAACUCCCAAGGCUCAACCUUGGAACUGCCUUUGAUACUGGGGAUCUUGAGUCCGGGAGAGGUGAGUGGAACUGCGAGUGUAGAGGUGAAAUUCGUAGAUAUUCGCAAGAACACCAGUGGCGAAGGCGGCUCACUGGCCCGGUACUGACGCUGAGGUGCGAAAGCGUGGGGAGCAAACAGG
rnacentral:rRNA from 1 species